AUUGAACGCUGGCGGCAGGCCUAAUACAUGACAAGUCGAACGGUAACAUAAAAGAAGCUUGCUUCUUUGAUGACGAGUGGCGGACGGGUGAGUAAUAUUUGGGAAACUACCUGAUAGAGGGGGACAACAGUUGGAAAACGACUGCUAAAUACCGCAUAAAGCCUAAGGGUGAAAGCAGCAAUGCGCUAUCAGAUGUCGCCCAAACGGGAUUAGCUAGUAGGUGAGGUAAAGGCUCACCUAGGCGACGAUCAGUAGCCGGACUGAGAGGUUGAACGGCCACAUUGGGACUGAGAUACGGCCCAGACUCCUACGGGAGGCAGCAGGUGGGGAAUAUUGGGCAAUGGGGGAAACCCUGACCCAGCAACGCCGCGUGAAGGAAGAAGGCCUUCGGGUUGUAAACUUCUUUUAGCAGGGACGAAGGACGUGACGGUACCUGCAGAAAAAGCAACGGCUAACUACGUG
rnacentral:rRNA from 1 species